rnacentral:rRNA from 1 species
UACGUAGGGUGCAAGCGUUGUCCGGAAUUAUUGGGCGUAAAGAGCGUGUAGGCGGUCUGGUAGGUCCGUUGUGAAAACUCGAGGCUCAACCUCGAGACGCCGAUGGAAACCCUCAGACUAGAGUUCGGUGGGGGAGUCUGGAAUUCCUGGUGUAGCGGUGAAAUGCGCAGAUAUCAGGAGGAACACCGGUGGCGAAGGCGGGACUCUGGGCCGAUACUGACGCUGAGGAGCGAAAGCGUGGGAAGCAAACAGG